AGUGAACGCUGGCGGUAGGCCUAACACAUGCAAGUCGAACGGCAGCACAGUAAGAGCUUGCUCUUACGGGUGGCGAGUGGCGGACGGGUGAGGAAUACAUCGGAAUCUACUUUUUCGUGGGGGAUAACGUAGGGAAACUUACGCUAAUACCUCAUACGACCUACGGGUGAAAGCAGUGGAUCUUCGGACCUUGCGCGAUUGAAUGAGCCGAUGUCGGAUUAGCUAGUUGGCGGGGUAAAGGCCCACCAAGGCGACGAUCCGUAGCUGGUCUGAGAGGAUGAUCAGCCACACUGGAACUGAGACACGGUCCAGACGCCUACGGGAGGCAGCAGUGGGGAAUAUUGGACAAUGGGCGCAAGCCUGAUCCAGCCAGACCGCGUGGGUGAAGAAGGCCUUCGGGUUGUAAAGCCCUUUUGUUGGGAAAGAAAAGCAGCAGGUUAAUACCCCGCUGUUCUGACGGUACCCAAAGAAUAAGCACCGGCUAACUUCGUG
rnacentral:rRNA from 1 species